AUGGGCCCCGAUGGGAUUCACCCACGAGUGCUGAGGGAGCUGGCGAAUGUUAUUGCUAGACCACUCUCCAUCAUCUUUGCAAGGUCAUGGAGGACAGGAGAGGUGCCUGAGGACUGGAACAAAGCCAAUAUCACCCCUGUCUUCAAAAAGGGCAAGAAGGAGGACCCGGGAAACUACAGGCCAGUCAGCCUCAGCUGCAUCCCUGGAAAGGUGAUGGAGCAGCUCAUGCUGGAGGCCAUCUCCAAGCAUGUGGAGGAAAAGAAGGUGAUCAGGAGUAGUCAGCAUGGCUUCACCAAGGGGAAAUCAUGCUUAACCAAUCUGAUAGCCUUCUCUGAUGGAAUGACUGGCUGGGGAGAUGAGGGGAGAGCAGUGGAUGUUGUGUCCCUUGACUUCAGCAAGGCUUUUGACACUGUCUCCCAUAACAUCCUCAUAGGUAAGCUCAGGAAGUGUGGGUUGGAUGAGUGGACAGUGAGGUGGAUUGAGAGCUGGCUGAAUGGCAGAGUUCAGAGAGUUGUGAUUAGUGGUGCAGAGUCUGGUUGGAGGCCUGUGGCUAGCAGUAUCCCCCAGGGGUCAGUACUGGGUCCAGUCUUGUUCAGCUGCUUCAUCAAUGACCUGGAUGAAGGGACAAAGUGCACCCUCAGCAAGUUUGCUGACGAUACAAAACUGGGAGGAGUGGCCAAUACCCCAGAGGGCUGUGCUGCCAUUGAGAGAGACCUGGACAAGCUGGAGAGCUGGACRGAGAGGAACCUCAUGAAGUUCAAAAAAGGCAAGUGCAGGGUCCUGCACCUAGGGAGGAAUAACCCCACGCACCAGUACGGGUUGAGGGUUGACCUGCUGGAAAGCAGCUCUGCAGAGAAGGACCUGGGAGUGCUGGUGGACACGAAGUUAAGCAUGAGCCAGCAAUGUGCCCUUGUGGCCAAGAAGGCCAAUGGUACCCUGGGGUGCAUUAGGAAGAGUGUUGCCAGCAGGUCGAGGGAUGUGAUCCUGCCCCUCUACUCAGCCCUGGUGAGACCGCAUCUGGAGUACUGUGUCCAAUUUUGGACUCCCCAGUACAAGAGAGACAUGGAGCUACUGGAGAGAGUCCAGUGA
rnacentral:lncRNA from 1 species